UCUUAUGGAUGAGCAAAGAAGGUGGUUUCAUGAGAUGGAAGCAACUCUUGGUGACAUGCUGUGAA
rnacentral:pre_miRNA from 1 species